GUAGAAGGAUAACAUGACAUAGCAGGAAUAAUACUGCCUUUUCUUUCUGGCAUGGAUCAAGAGAAAAGAAAAUACAAGAAAACAGAGAGAAGCAAGGCAAGGUACUUCUAUAGAAGGGUGAGCCCUCACAGAUGGAGCAAUGGUGCACGCACACCUGAACAAGGGAGGGGAAGGAGUUCUUAUCCCUGAUGCAUGUGGCCCCUGCUGCUGUGUCCUUCCCCUAUUGGCUAAGAAAAUUGUUGUCUUAUUUUUAUCCUCUUUAAAAGAUGAUUUAUAAUCAGCUAUAUAAUUUUGACACGUGCUCUCAAACUCAGGCUUCUGACAGCUUUGGAGAUUGUGACAUUGGAAUAAAGGAAAAACGUACAGGACUCAUGAAGAGCUGAAAUGUUCACAAAUAUCAAGCAAAAGUCAAUGAAAUUUAUUUUGAGCUAUUUACAGCGUUUAAUAAUUGAGCAAGCUAUACUCCUAUAAACAAAAUUUGGAGCAUGUUUGUCUCUCUCUGUCUGCCUGGCAUCUACAGAAUUUGGAAACUAGUUUCUUUCCCAGAUUUUCUAAACUUUCCAGAGAAAAUGGUCUUCUCCCUGGCUCAGCAAGAAGAUGAACUUUAAACACUGAGAAACUGGUCAUCUCC
rnacentral:lncRNA from 1 species